rnacentral:rRNA from 1 species
AACAAGGUUUCCGUAGGUGAACCUGCAAAAGGAUCAUUGU